UUUGUGGAUGCUUAGCACGGCAUAAGGACACGGCAUGUACAGACUGAGCAUUCUUUUGCUCUCUUCUCCAACCUUCUGGCUGUCAUUAUAUCCAGACCUUCUCUCAACUUCUUGAUGGCUCAGCUGUGCAUCCUCUGAUGGCCACGGGAGUUUUGUUCUCUGUUUCUGCAUCUGCUUCUGCCAAAAGAGAAUGGGAAGCACGGACAGAGCAGAAUUUCCUGGGAGGAUAUUUUUCAGUAGCUCUGGUGGAAGCAUCUGCACCCUGGUGAACGAAGUGAAGCAAUCCCUAUCCCACAUCACGCACCUUGGAUGCUUCCAGCUGCUUUGUGCAAUGUGGCUGAAACUGGUCUACUCUAUCUAACCAACUUUUGGAAGGUUUGAAAGCUGGGGGAGGAAGGGGUACAAACACAUACAUUGACGAUGCAGUGAUGGAACCAACCAGGAAUGCCAAGGACAUGCCAGUGAGUGACCCCUCUUUGAAAGUGAAUUGCCCUUCACAAGGAGAUGCCUAGAGCAACUCUAAAGCCAAGAACAACCCUACAGCGAAGGCAGCUUCUUGUAUCCUUUGGUCUCUCUGUCAUUGCUCUGGGACAUGGACUACCUCUGUUCCUCUCAGCCACAAUCCUGUGUCACUCUGGGACGUCCUCCUGCUUGUGCAGAGCGAGGUAAAUGCCCUGGGGUGAGUUACACUGUUGUAGUAUGGCUCAUUUCCUUCCCCAGUUUCUCAUUUGCAAGCUCUGCAGGGAAAUCUACAUUUUCCACAACGAGAGUGAAUAUUGGGUGAGUCGCUCCAUUCCAGAAAUAAACUUAAAUGCUUUCCUAAUUUCCUAACAUAAUAUGUUUUUCCCUUUUAUUUUAAUAAAAAAUAACAAUAAUAAAACAAAGCACCCUUUCUCCGUUUCUCUUCCUUACACAAACACAUAAUCCUGGUGCCUUAAUGUCUCAUCAAGAAAAUCCAGACUGGAGGCUGCAGCCAGGACUCUGUGCCACCUCGAUAUUUUGGACACAUAUUUGGACUCACAUAUGCACACAUUUUGCCUUCCCUGCCUCAGCAGGACAAGACUUCAGAUCUUUUCUUGCAUCCACAAGCUUGAAUGGAUACACCGAGCCUCAGCAGGGAAAGGUCAUUUCCACUCAUUGACAUUCACACUGUCUCCCCAUUUGUAUGCUUCGAGAGAUAUUUAUAUUUAAAAAGCAUCAGCCUGGCUAAGGAGAGACUUUCCAUUUGUCAGGAUUUCUGGGAAAAGGGAAAUUUCACACCUGUAGGAAUAUGGAUUUUUGACAGAAAAAAAGAAGAAAUCCUGAUGUAUCUUCUCCUAAUGGCCCUGCUCAGUUACUGGAUUGAGGCUGCUGCCAGUCCUGUGGAACGGCUUCCCAGAAAAGAGGGGUUUUCU
ensembl:lncRNA